rnacentral:rRNA from 1 species
GACGAACCGUGCAAACGUUAUUCGGAUUCACUGGGCUUAAAGGGCGCGUAGGCGGGCCAUCCAGUCAGGUGUGAAAUCUUUCGGCUCAACCGGAAAAGUGCCUUUGAUACUGAUGGUCUCGAGGGAGGUAGGGGCAUGCGGAACUUCCGGUGGAGCGGUGAAAUGCGUAGAUAUCGGAAGGAACGCCGGUGGCGAAAGCGGCGUGCUGGACCUCUUCUGACGCUGAGGCGCGAAAGCCAGGGGAGCAAACGGG